UACGUAGGGCGCAAGCGUUGUCCGGAAUUAUUGGGCGUAAAGAGCUCGUAGGUGGUUUGUUACGUCUGCUGUGAAAACCUAGGGCUUAACCCUGGGCCUGCAGUGGAUACGGGCAGACUAGAGGUAGGUAGGGGAGAAUGGAAUUCCCGGUGUAGCGGUGAAAUGCGCAGAUAUCGGGAGGAACACCGGUGGCGAAGGCGGCGACCUGGUCCUUGACUGACGCUGAGGCGCGAAAGCGUGGGAGCAACAGG
rnacentral:rRNA from 1 species